AGUGAACGCUGGCGGCGUGCCUAAUACAUGCAAGUCGAACGAAGUGGCGCACGGGUGAGUAAUAUAUAGUUAAUCUGCCCUACACAGAGGAACAACAGUUGGAAACGACUGCUAAUACCUCAUAGUGUAGGAUGGGAAUAUAACGUAUCAGCUAGUUGGGAAGGUAAUGGCUUACCAAGGCUAUGACGCGUAACAGGUCUGAGAGGAUGAUGAGUCGAAUUUGAACUGAGACACGGUCCAGACUCCUACGGGAGGGAGCAGUAAGGAAUAAGACGAAAUGGGGGAAACCCUGACGCAGCAACGGCGCGUGGAGGAUGACACUUUGAGGAGAUUAAACGCCUUAUAUCAGGAAAGCGGUACCUGAUGAAUAAGCACCGGCUAACUCCGUGCCAGCCGCCGCGGUAAUUC
rnacentral:rRNA from 1 species